GUAGGCGGUUUAAUAAGUGAAUAGUGAAACCUGGUGGCUCAACCAUACAGACUAUUAUUCAAACUGUUAAACUCGAGAAUGGUAGAGGUAACNUGGAAUUUCUAGUGUAGGAGUGAAAUCCGUAGAUAUUAGAAGGAACACCGAUGGCGUAGGCGGGUUACUGGGCCAUUUCUGACGCUAAGGCACGAAAGCGUGGGGAGCGAACCGGAUUAGAUACCCGGGUAGUCCACGCCGUAAACGAUGGAUACUAGCUGUUGGAGGUAUCGACCCCUUCAGUAGCGAAGCUAACGCGUUAAGUAUCCCGCCUGUGGAGUACGGCCGCAAGGCUAAAACAUAAAGGAAUUGACGGGGACCCGCACAAGCGGUGGAUUAUGUUCUUUAAUUCGAUGAUAACCGAAGAACCUUACCAGGGCUUGACAUCCAGGGAAGGUCUGCGAAAGUAGACUGUGCCUUUUGGAACCCUGUGACAGGUGAUGCAUGGCCGUCGUCAGCUCGUGUCGUGAGAUGUUAGGUUAAGUCCUUCAACGAGCGCAACCCUUGUGAAUAGUUGUAUUUUUCUAUUCAGACUGCCCCGGUAACGGGGAGGAAGGANGGGGAUGAUGUCAGGUCAGUAUUUCCCUUACGUCCUGGGCUANGAAACGUAAUACAAUGGCUAGUACAAUGCGCANCGAANCCGCGAG
rnacentral:rRNA from 1 species